UAGUGCGUUUCAGUUUUUUGAAAAAAAUUCAGAAAAAUUAGGGAUAGCCUGUAGGCACAUUGUAAAGUCGACUUCAAACCCCAAAACAAGUAAGGACCCCUCACCCUAUUUCCUAUCACGGUAUUAAAGCUAAAUAAAUAAUUAAACUGUACUGUGUGACUUUAUAGAUGUAUAAUUGAUUGAGGUUGCCAAUGGAGCCCGAGUCUGAAAUAGUGUUGGUCUGUUAUUGUUUGAUCUAAUUUCUAGUAUUAAAUGUAGCAUUAUAUUUGAUGUAAU
rnacentral:lncRNA from 1 species